rnacentral:piRNA from 1 species
UGAAGUUAUUUGUUCUAUAAAUAUCCUACA